GCCCAAGUGAGUGAGGUAGCCUGGUGAAUUGGAAGAGCAUUAGUUUCAAAGUUUGAAAGCCAUGAUUCCAUUUCAAGUUCACCACUGAUUAGUUGUAUCUUAGAAAUGUUUACUCACAUCUCUAAGCCUCUAUUUCCUCGCCUGUGAAAAGGAGAAAAUUCUGUAAGAUCUAAAUGAAAGAACAUUUUGUAAGGCUUAACACAUUUAUAUAUGUUCCAGGUCUUCUUUUCUCCCUCCCAAGCUAAUCUGUUUACAUCACCUUGUGAUAGGUUUUCAUCACUAUAACUUUACUAAACAAUGUCUAAAAUUCUGUCAUCUGGGUGUAGUUUGAUGGAAGGAGUUAAGCAUCUUAAAAAUUUUUUUAAGUUUAAAACUCCUUGGGUCACACUGAAUUGCAUGUGCUCUAAUUCAGAAAAACAAGUUAAGUCUUCCAUUCUAAGUACUGUUAAAAGGUAGGCACUUCUGUCUUCACAAACAAGUAAGAUAAUUUCUAACAUUCAGAAUUCAAGCAUAUUCAUUUCAAAAGCAUGUAGUCACUACAUCUGGGCAACUGUUUAAUCAAAAAGUUGAAGAGCACAGAUGUCAAAGACACUUUCUCUGAUGGAACAUUUACAACUUGUGGUUGUUGGACCUUCACUAUCAUAGUCUGCCUUUGACCAAUUCUCUUUCCUUUUUGGAAUAAGGGCAAAUGAGCAUAAACUCUGACAUGAAAUACAUCAGAUAGCUACCCAAAAUACUCUUCCAAAUCUGUGAGUUAUUUAACCUUAAUCUAUCUUGAAAACCACAAUAGAUUUCCAUCUUCUUGAGAAGAAAGAAAGCAAGUGGAUAUUCUAAAUGAUCUUUUCAGGCUUACAUAUCUCUUUCAAAACAUUUCACAGUUUUCCCCACUUCAUUCCUAACCCCACCUCCAUCCGCCCCGUGAGUACUUGCAUAGAGUAGGGCCUUAAAUGCUUUUGAUGAUAAAUGAGUUGUCAGUGCACAGAUAAAUCCCCUUUUCCAAAGCCUCCUGGAGUAGGAGCAUAUUCUACUUCCUCCCAAAGACCCCAGAACUUCCUGUGCACUGGCACGCACAGAAGAAAACUUUUAUUCACAAAUUUAAGCUACAUUAAUCUGCUGAAAGGAGGAUAGAUACUUAAAUGGAGUUUCAAAUAACCCUCGCCUUUGAGAUCAUCUGUGCUCACAGCCCAAUAUUUGUACAAGAUGAAAUGAUUUACAGAAUCAAGCCUGGAAAAAUUGGAGGGCAACUCCAAAAGGCAAGAACAUGCUGCUGAGUCCAUCACUCAUCCUGCCAGGGAAACUUUUUGUAGUCUCCAAACUGUUAUGAGACACUACUCUCUCUCCAGGACAGAGAAAUCAUCGAAAAGGCGGGAGGUGUGUUGGCUGCACAGCCAGAGUAAAGAACUGGAGUUCUUGGCAGGGCACUUCCACCUCAAAAGCAGACAGAGUCCUGGAAGGACUCUCACGUAAACAAAGCAGGGAGACAGCUUCAGCUCUGCAGCGAGGCUCAUCCUUUCCCAGAUCAAAGCCUGCGCCAGAGAGACAGCCCUACAGAACAGAGUGUCCUUUUUGGAACAUCCAGCUCCAGGGGGGAGGCUUGAACUGGAGCCACAACCUUACCACCUGUAUCCAAUGGCUUAGAUGCAAAGGCUUUCACAGGUUGGGGAGCCCACAGCUGCUCCAAUGACAGACAAUCAAUGGAAAGAUAAGACAAGGCAAGCAAGAGAAGUUUCUACCUUGCAAGCUCAGAUCAGCUACUCUGAGAAAAAGAAAAUGCGUCAAGCCAACCCCGGCUCUCUCUACAGUGUCGAAAGCAGGUGGCAAUCAGUACAGGCUCGUGGCCGAGCUGUUUGCCUGGCUCUCUGCCACUUACUUGCUAACUGGGUGAGCUAGGCAGGCUACUGGAUGUUUCUAUGCCUUGGUUUCCUCACCUGCAAAAGGAACCUAAUCGUACCUGCUCCACAGGCUUUAAUGAAUGACUGGUACAGAAGAAAGCUCUAAAAAUGUUGCAAUGAUCAUUUGAAAGUCCCACUGUCCUGCAUUUGAACAAGUUCUGCUAAUUGGCAGUUUUGUGAACUUGGGGAAACAAUAUGGGAUGACUUCCCCCAUCUGUAAAAUGGAAUUUCACCCAACCCUGAUGGGAUUGCCAGGGAGAUUUGACUUCAUUUAGCACAGAGUAGGAAUUCAGUAAAUGCCACCUCUGUUUAUUAUCAUUUUUCCUGACUUCGAAAGGAGAAAGCCCACAGGACUGGUCAGAUGGGAAGAGAUACAGCUAGUAAAACAGAAUCCUCUUAAACCCCCAAACCUUCAUCCAUAUGCAAAAGAGAUACAUCCCUGGGGAUGAUUGGAUCCUGGUGUUUUAAAUACACAGCUAAUUAUAUUUUAAGAGAGAAGAGGGAGCCUGGAAGUAUUCCCAAAUUUAACAUCUGCAAGCAGAGAGGAUGACGAAAUGCAUUAGUACUGAGGAAUAACUUUCUCCCAUCUUCUCAGAAAACAUCUGGGGUAUUACCCUCCCCUCUACUCAUUCCCUCACCUCCCACCCCAAAGCUGACUCUUGGCUGACAGUUUAUCAGAGAUAAAUGGAAACACCUGGGAACCAGAUAAGGCCAACUGAGUGUGAUCAGCUGAGGAGACCUUGGGAACUCAUGCCACUCAAUAUUUCUCUUUCCACACCAGGUGGGGCUAGGAGUACCAUCUAGCCUGUGAUGGAUGGCAAGGCUCACUUUCACAUCCACUCUUUUCUUCAGUCAUUCCAAACCACCUCAAGAGGUCAGCUGGCCCAGGUUCCUGCCUGAGCAGGCCAUUUGGCUGGUGACUGCUGAACUGGAUGAGAAAUCUCAGCCUGACACAGGAGUCCUCAGGCUCCCACUGCCUCGUGUGCCAAUCACAGAUUUCUGGAUCAACAAACCCCUCCUUCAGUCAAUAGAAGCUUUGUGAGCUGAACAACAGAUGCCACAGGGCCUAGAAGGCAAAUAAAUAUGGUUAUUCAACAUUCUAUCGCACUGUGUAUAAUUCAGGAAAUUCAAUUAUGGUUUCCCCAGCAACAGUAACCGAACUUCAGGCCUGGCACACAAGGGGUUGACCCUCACGCCUCCACAUGUCGGGGACAGUGCAAAUCUGGCAGACUUACAAUUGCCAUUGGAAAUCUAACUGGAGCCUCCAAAAGCCUGGGCUUCCAAACUUAAAGCUGUUUUUCAGCAACUGGUAUAAAGACUUGGGGGGAAAAAGUACUAACAUGAUCUCAGUCAUGAAUAGGUAUGGGAUGAUUAAGCAGCAUGGGCACAAUUCCAGCAUCAGCAUACAUUUGAGGCAUAGAAUGGCAGAUCAGGACUUUAUAAUAGAAUGUGAACUGUCAGGAUGAGACCUGCAAACUGCCUGGAGCAGGGUUUAUAACCUGGAGUCUGUGAAGUCUCUAAAGAGACCUAUGCCAUGGAUUUGGAGCGUGGAUUCUGAGGCCGGACUUUGCAGGUUCAAAUCCUAGGUCUUCUGCAUGACCUCAGGCAAGUCAUUUCUCAAUCAAGCUGCACUGGCUGGAAACAUCUGAGAAAGAAAUUUACUGAGAGAUGCACAGACAGCCUAUUCACAUUCCAGAAUUUCCAGGAGCCUUCCCCAGAGGACCCAGCGGUAAACUGUUAACUCAUGCACAUCCCCUGGCCAGUGUCCCUGCCCCUCAUCACCCGGCUGGCUGGUGCAGACAGCACCCAGGCUUCCUGCUUCCAAACUCGGCUUCCUCAACUCUAAGGCUACGUGAUGUAGCUAACACAGCACACACUGUUCUCAAGCCUUGCCCAGCCUUGCCUACGACAGCAAGAUUAGACAGGAAACUGAGGACAGAAGGUACCCAAUGGAUUUAGUGAGUUAGUUGUCUGAGCACUUAAAAAUUCUAAAUUAAUGACACUAUACGUACAUGUGGUUGAUUCUUCCUCAUUAGUGAAAGGGACUCUGAUUAAAAUAACUCAUUUGAAUAAAGGCUUAAUGGAGGCUCAGAACAAUGUCCUUGCUUAACUCAAGUACUUCCUCUUUCUUUCCCCUCUCCCCUAGCCAGCCUCUCUCCCACACCAAUUUGGUCUUAACAUAGAAAGUUCUAAUCUGAAACUGGUGUUUACCACUAAGCUCUCCAUUUCUGCUUGAAGUAAUUUUCAAGGGCCACUUUCUGCAUCUUGUUCUCAGACGUGUCUUGGUCAAUUAGUGCAAUGUUGCAGCCGUGUAUAGUUAUUGUAACUCCAGCUGCGAGCUGUUAAUAAUAAACUUACCCACAG